AGUUAAUGAACUUGUUAAAGUGUAUGUUUUGAAAACAUAAUAAAGAGGUACAAUCCUCUAUUAACUU
rnacentral:tRNA from 1 species